AUUGAACGCUGGCGGAAUGCUUUACACAUGCAAGUCGAACGGUAGAGGGGGCAACCCCUCGAGAGUGGCGAACGGGUGAGUAAUAUAUCGGAACGCGCCCAGCCGUGGGGGAGAACGUAGCGAAAGUUACGCUAAUACCGCAUACGCCCUAAUGAUGAAAGCGGGGGAUCGCAAGACCUCGCGCGAUUGGAACGGGCGAUAUCAGAUUAGGUAGUUGGUGGGGUAAAGGCUCACCAAGCCAACGAUCUGUAGCUGGUCUGAGAGGACGACCAGCCACACUGGAACUGAGACACGGUCCAGACUCCUACGGGAGGUAGCAGUGGGGAAUUUUGGACAAUGGACGCAAGACUGAUCCAGCCAUUCCGCGUGCAGGAUGAAGGCCCUCGGGUUGUAAACUGCUUUUGUACGGAACGAAAAGGUCUCUCUUAAUACGGGGGACUCAUGACGGUACCGUAAGAAUAAGCACCGGCUAACUACGUGCCAGCAGCCGCCGCCG
rnacentral:rRNA from 1 species